GGUGGCUCAGUGGUAGAGCGCUUGCCUUUGCAUGCAAGAGGCCCUGGGUUCGAUUUCCCCAGCACCA
rnacentral:tRNA from 1 species